CUUGGUAAAAUGGAGUUAAGCAGAUAUCCGGCACAACUCUCUGCUUGUCCUGCAAGUCACCACGACACUCGUGAGGAGGAUGAGCGGCUUGGAUGACGGAUAGAGGAAUGAAGAAGCGAUUUGAAGCGAUUUUUCACCUGCAAAGCUGCAACAAGAUAGGCAAGUCCGGAGCCCUCGAACCAAAACAAUGUC